rnacentral:lncRNA from 1 species
AAGAACCAGAAAAUCAUGGCAUACGAACUUUGACGAGGACCUGAGGCUAAUCUAGUCUAACGUUUUCAUUUACAGUUGAGAAAACCGAGACUCAGAAGUUGGCUGAAGGUGGUGUAAGGGUGAAAGGUGGUGGAUCCUGGAUGGAACUGGCUUCUUUAUUGAGAAGAGUAUAAUUCUGUAUGAAAACUCAAUCCAUACCUAUGUUGCAGCUGUGUGCACACCCAGUUCAACACUGGAAAUAAAAACUGUUUCGGUGGAAACAAAACAAACGAAAGAACAAGAGGGAGCUGUGGGUGAGCUGCUCCGUGGCAGGUCCUCCGCGCUGAGAAGUUUAGACCCCGGGG